AGAGUUUGAUCCUGGCUCAGGAUGAACGCUGGCGGUCUGCUUAACACAUGCAAGUCGAACGGAAUCCGCAAGGAUUUAGUGGCGGACGGGUGAGUAACGCGUGAGAAUCUGCCUUCAGGACGGAGACAACAGUUGGAAACGACUGCUAAGCCCCGAUGAACCGAAAGGGAAAAUAUUUAUAGCCUGAAGAUGAGCUCGCGUCCGAUUAGCUAGUUGGGGGGGUAAAGGCCCACCAAAGCGACGAUCGGUAGCUGGUCUGAGAGGACGAUCAGCCACACUGGGACUGAGACACGGCCCAAACUCCUACGGGAGGCAGCAGUGGGGAAUAUUGGACAAUGGGCGCAAGCCUGAUCCAGCCAUGCCGCGUGAGUGAUGAAGGCCUUAGGGUUGUAAAGCUCUUUCGGCGGGGACGAUAAUGACGGUACCCGCAGAAGAAGCCCCGGCUAACUUCGUGCCAGCAGCCGCGGUAAUACGAAGGGGGCUAGCGUUGUUCGGAAUCACUGGGCGUAAAGGGCGCGUAGGCGGCUUUGUAAGUCGGGGGUGAAAGCCUGUGGCUCAACCACAGAAUUGCCUUCGAUACUGCAUGGCUUGAGACCGGAAGAGGUAAGUGGAACUGCGAGUGUAGAGGUGAAAUUCGUAGAUAUUCGCAAGAACACCAGUGGCGAAGGCGGCUUACUGGUCCGGUUCUGACGCUGAGGCGCGAAAGCGUGGGGAGCAAACAGGAUUAGAUACCCCGGUAGUCC
rnacentral:rRNA from 2 species